AAACGACUCUCGGCAACGGAUAUCUCGGCUCUCGCAUCGAUGAAGAACGUAGCGAAAUGCGAUACUUGGUGUGAAUUGCAGAAUCCCGUGAACCAUUGAGUCUUUGAACGCAAGUUGCGCCCCAAGCCAUUAGGGUGAGGGCACGCCUGCCUGGGUGUCACGCAUCGGCGCCCCCCAGCAACAACCCUUUUGGUUGUCUUGGAGGCGAACAAUGGCCUCCCGGGAGCUCUCUUACGGUUGGCCCAAAAACGAUUCCUCGGUAACGAUUAUUGCCGCGAACGAUCGGUGGUAAUACCUCGAGUGUUCCUUAUCCAUGUUCGUGCUUUGCCUAGUUGACCGGAAGGAAUCCUCAUUAACCCUGCUUUGCAUCGCUCGAACGAUGCUCGCUUCGCGACCCCAGGUCAGACGGGACUACCCGCUGAGUUUAAGCAUAUCAAUAAGCGGAGGAAAAGAAACUUACCAGGAUUCCCUUAGUAACGGCGAGCGAACCGGGAAGAGCCC
rnacentral:rRNA from 1 species